CCUACGGGAGGCAGCAGUGAGGAAUAUUGGUCAAUGGGCGCGAGCCUGAACCAGCCAAGUAGCGUGAAGGAUGACUGCCCUACGGGUUGUAAACUUCUUUUAUACAGGAGUAAAGUGAGCCACGUGUGCCUUUUUGUCUGUACUUUAUGAAUAAGGAUCGGCUAACUCCGUGCCAGCAGCCGCGGUAAUACGGAGGAUCCGAGCGUUAUCCGGAGUUAUUGGGUUUAAAGGGAGCGUAGAUGGGUUGUUAAGUCAGUUGUGAAAGUUUGCGGCUCAACCGUAAAAUUGCAAUUGAGACUGGCAGCCUUGAGUACAGUUGAGGUAGGCGGAAUUCGUGGUGUAGCGGUGAAAUGCUUAGAUAUCACGAAGAACUCCGAUUGCGAAGGCAGCUUACUAAACUGCCACUGACAUUGAGGCUCGAAAGUGUGGGUAUCAAACAGGAUUAGAUACCCGAGUAGUC
rnacentral:rRNA from 1 species